rnacentral:tRNA from 1 species
UUUCUCGUUGGGAAGAGCUCUCUCUGCAUCAGUGGUAGAGCGGUCGGCUGUUAACCGACUGGUCGUAGGUUCGAAUCCUACUUGGGGAGA